AGCGCAGGGAAACACCCCACCCCGGAAAUCCCUGGCCACUGGAGGAGAUGUUUAAGGUGGAUCAGGAAGCUGACGCCGGGGCCAGGUGUCUUUCCCCGCCACCUACCUGCCUUUCUACCUGCCUGUGGCCGGCCCCGGUUGCCCUCGCCUCCACUCAGGGAAUUUACCAGGACGAGAGAAGCCGAAUCACAGAAAAGGGGCAAAGAAAUGUCCCCGCCAACCCUCCAGCCCUGCCACCUUCCUCGGGCAGCCUCCAGCUCCGCUCGCCUGGGCGGCCUGGACGGUUGUGUGCCCUCAGUGGCACCUGAUCCAUCCCAGCACGGCCCCGGGGGGACAAUGUGGGCAAGGGGCUGACCCGGUGACUUUUCUCCUCCAUCCCAAGUGCCCGGCAGGGAUCCUGGUUUUUUCUAAUUUAAAAAAAAAAAUCCCCAGUUUUCAGUUUUAAAAAAGUAACCCCAAAUCCACAUUUUUUUCAUGAUUAAAAUGAAACGUCAUUAAAAUAUCGAUCUAGAUAUAGCGGUGUUUCAUUUUAAUCGCAGAAGAAUGUGGAUUUGGGGUUGCUUUCUUUCAACCGAAAAUUGCGAAUUUUUUUAAAUCGGAGAAAACCUGAAGUGCCAGCUCAUUUGAUGCCAGCGUAAUAGGCAGUGCGCUGUAAAGAAGGAAACACAGGGCCAUAGUCGCAGGCCCUUCUGCAUCCACAUGCACCCCUGCCCUACUCUCUCACCCUGCACUCUGCCUUCCACUUGGAGGCAAAAGGAGCUGGAGUGGAAAUGGGUGCUAAAAGGAGGAGGAAUUGCCAUCCCAACCUACUGCACCUGCCUAUGGUCUGAAAGAGGGGCAGCCUCUCUGCACAAGGGUGUCUGGCUCCUGGAUCAUGAGCCUGAAUUUCAUACAGCCUGAACUUAUAUGGAGCCCUUCUCUGAAAUACCACUUGAAUAUGGCACUGGGUGAUUCCACAUUUGGUGCCAAUGAUUCCCAGAUCAAACUCUGACUUUGCAAGUGAGGAGUUGCUUCCGGGUUAUUUUCAGUUGCCAGGUAUGCAAGCAGAAAGGAAAAGGGGGACAAUACACAUCUUCCUUUCUCUCUUAGCAGACGGUUAUGAGGGAAGAUUUCUCCCCCCAACCAGAUAAUCUGGAAGGUGAGCAUCCAGGAGAUGGGUACCUGUUCUAAUGGACUAUGAUCAUGUAAUGAGGACUAUCAAUAAAAAUUUGUAGUAAUAACAAUAACAAUAAAAUAUGAUGUGC